ACGGCUGCCAGCGUCAUUUUUGUGAUCUGCAGCUAGUAUUCUCACUCCAGUUGCAUAGUCACAAAAGUGAUCACUGGCAGGUGUGGCCGCUGCA
ensembl:miRNA